rnacentral:rRNA from 1 species
ACCCGCACAAGCGGUGGAUGAUGUGGUUUAAUUCGAUGCAACGCGAAAAACCUUACCUACCCUUGACAUGUCCGGAAUCCCGAAGAGAUUUGGGAGUGCUCGCAAGAGAGCCGGAACACAGGUGCUGCAUGGCUGUCGUCAGCUCGUGUCGUGAGAUGUUGGGUUAAGUCCCGCAACGAGCGCAACCCUUGUCAUUAGUUGCCAUCAUUUGGUUGGGCACUCUAAUGAGACUGCCGGUGACAAACCGGAAGAAGGUGGGGAUGACGUCAAGUCCUCAUGGCCCUUAUGGGUAGGGCUUCACACGUCAUACAAUGGUCGGUACAGAGGGUUGCCAACCCGCGAGGGGGAGCUAAUCCCACAAAGCCGAUCGUAGUCCGGAUCGCAGUCUGCAACUCGACUGCGUGAAGUCGGAAUCGCUAGUAAUCGUGGAUCAGCAUGUCACGGUGAAUACGUUCCCGGGUCUU